UUUCCGUAGGUGAACCAGCGGAAGGAUCAUUAUCGAAUUUCGAGGGGAAGGAAGAUGAGGAGUGGAGACUGUCGCUGGCUUUCCCGCCUGGGAAGCAUGUGCACGCCUUGCUUUUCGUUGACCUUUCUCUUACUCUCACACCUGUGCACCCAUUGUAGGUCCUCGAAAGAGGAUCUAUGUUUUUAUCAUCACACGCAUCGUAUGUCCAUAGAAUGUAACAUGAUCGUCGAUCGACCUCGCGGUCGGGUGGCGGUCUAAAUAAAUAAAUACAACUUUCAGCAACGGAUCUCUUGGCUCUC
rnacentral:misc_RNA from 1 species